AUGCCAGUCCUACCCAGGCCAGUGCUUUCUAUCUCUCCCUCGUCUUCUUUCUAUCUCAUCUUCUUUCUAUCUCUCCCUCAUCUUCUUUCUAUCUCUCCCUCAUCUUCUUUGUAUCUCUCCCUCGUCUUCUUUCUAUCUCUCUCUCGUCUUCUUUCUAUCUCUCCCUCGUCUUCUUUCUAUCUCUCCCUCAUCUUCUUUCUAUCUCUCCCUCAUCUUCUUUCUAUCUCUCCCUCGUCUUCUUUCUAUCUCAUCUUCUUUCUAUCUCUCCCUCAUCUUCUUUCUAUCUCUCCCUCGUCUUCUUUCUAUCUCUCCCUCAUCUUCUUUCUAUCUCUCCCUCAUCUUCUUUCUAUCUCUCCCUCGUCUUCUUUCUAUCUCUCCCUCGUCUUCUUUCUAUCUCUCCCUCGUCUUCUUUCUAUCUCUCCCUCGUCUUCUUUCUAUCUCAUCUUCUUUCUAUCUCUCCCUCAUCUUCUUUCUAUCUCUCCCUCGUCUUCUUUCUCUCUCCCUCGUCUUCUUUCUAUCUCUCCCUCGUUUUCUUUCUAUCUCUCCCUCAUCUUCUUUCUAUCUCUCUCUCGUCUUCUUUCUAUCUCUCCCUCGUCUUCUUUCUAUCUCUCCCUCAUCUUCUUUCUAUCUCUCCCUCGUCUUCUUUCUAUCUCUCCCUCGUCUUCUUUCUAUCUCUCCCUCAUCUUCUUUCUAUCUCUCCCUCGUCUUCUUUCUAUCUCUCCCUCAUCUUCUUUCUAUCUCUCCCUCGUCUUCUUUCUAUCUCUCCCUCAUCUUCUUUCUAUCUCUCCCUCGUCUUCUUUCUAUCUCAUCUUCUUUCUAUCUCUCCCUCAUCUUCUUUCUAUCUCUCCCUCGUCUUCUUUCUAUCUCUCCCUCGUCUUCUUUCUAUCUCUCCCUCGUCUUCUUUCUAUCUCUCCCUCGUCUUCUUUCUCUCUCCCUCAUCUUCUUUCUCUCUCCCUCAUCUUCUUUCUCUCUCCCUCGUCUUCUUUCUAUCUCUCCCUCGUCUUCUUUCUAUCUCUCCCUCAUCUUCUUUCUAUCUCUCCCUCGUCUUCUUUCUAUCUCUCCCUCAUCUUCUUUCUAUCUCUCCCUCGUCUUCUUUCUCUCUCCCUCAUCUUCUUUCUCUCUCCCUCGUCUUCUUUCUAUCUCUCCCUCGUCUUCUUUCUAUCUCUCCCUCGUCUUCUUUCUCUCUCCCUCGUCUUCUUUCUAUCUCUCCCUCGUCUUCUUUCUAUCAGGAGGUGGGGGUGCUCUGACUGCAGUUGA
rnacentral:lncRNA from 8 species